AACGAACGCUGGCGGCAGGCUUAACACAUGCAAGUCGAACGCGUGUAGCAAUACACGAGUGGCGCACGGGUGAGUAACGCGUGGAUAUCUGCCUUUUGGUUCGGAAUAACCCCGGGGAACUGGGGCUAAUACCGGAUGGUUCCUUCGGGAUAAAGAUUUAUCGCCAAAAGAUGAGUCCGCGUCCGAUUAGCUAGUUGGUGAGGUAACGGCUCACCAAGGCGACGAUCGGUAGCUGGUCUGAGAGGACGAUCAGCCACACUGGGACUGAGACACGGCCCAGACUCCUACGGGAGGCAGCAGUGGGGAAUAUUGGACAAUGGGGGCAACCCUGAUCCAGCCAUGCCGCGUGAGUGAUGAAGGCCUUCGGGUUGUAAAGCUCUUUUGGCGGGGACGAUGAUGACGGUACCCGCAGAAUAAGCCCCGGCUAACUUCGUGCCAGCCGCCGCGGUAA
rnacentral:rRNA from 1 species